CGCGUAGGCGGCUCGCUAAGUCGGAUGUGAAAACUCUGGGCUCAACCCAGAGCCUGCAUUCGAAACUGACGAGCUCGAGUUCUGGAGGGGAAAGCGGAAUUCCUGGUGUAGCGGUGAAAUGCGUAGAUAUCAGGAGGAACACCGGUGGCGAAGGCGGCUUUCUGGACAGAAACUGACGCUGAUGCGCGAAAGCUAGGGGAGCAAACA
rnacentral:rRNA from 1 species